GCCCCUUAUUCCUCCCACCACUUUUCUUCUCCAACCCGACGGCCACCUCUCUCCUCCAUUGUUCCCUGCCUCCAAACUCUUCCGUCCCCCCUCGCCCCGUGUCCCGAAGACCGGCGCGCCGCCGCCCCCAUCCGGCCGCCGUCCGCCCUUCCCUGCUUGCACCGGCCGCCGUCCCGUGCAGAGGAGCCGCCGUCCCCGUGUCCUAGCUCCGCCCUCGACGCGAGGAGCUGCCGCGCCACCUUCGCGAGGAGCUGUCGUGCCACCGCCGCGAGGAGAUCCGGCCGCCGUCGAGCCGUCGUGAGGAGAUCCGGCCGCCGUCGAGACGCCCGCCAUCCCUGCUUGAACCGGCUGCCGUCCGUGCACCCAAGGAGCUGUCGUCCCCGCUCCUGGCGCCAUCCCCAUCCCCAACCCCUGGAAAAGCUGUAUCUAAAUUCUGCGCAAAACAUUUGCAUAAACAAGUCCUCAUAAAUGAUGCAAAUUCAUCGGGUGAUCUACCCGCUUCUGUCCAUAAAGCUUUCUUAAGGUAAAUUUCAGGCUUCUUGUUUAGAAAUGAAGUCAGUUUUGGAAAAUGGGCAUCACAUAUUUCAUGGUACAAAAGCUUCUCCGGUGCUUAUUAAUGGAACUAAUCAAAAUCGGGCUUGGUGCUUUCAGUGUUCAUCACCCAAACUGAUUGGUAAGCCCUUAAUAUCAUUGCCUUAUUGACUGAGAUAGAAAUAGAAUACCUUUCAAGUAGCUAUCCUGAAAACAAUAAGAACAAGACAAAUUGAUUCACUGAAGAUUUUUGCUUCUCAGACUUGGAUCCAAGGUUAAACAUGAGUAGAUAAUAUUCCAUAUUUUCAGCUGGCUAAAGUGCUGAAAAAUCUGAUGAGCUUAGGUCAUUCUUUGACAGACUUAAUAACUGCACUAGAGAAAAUUUUUGUACUUUCAUUUCAAAAUUUAAUGCACUGUUAUAUUCCAAUACAAAGUCCUUCCAUAUAAUAAAACUAAUAUAUUUUUGUAGCAUGGAUGUUACUUGCAUUAAUCGCUGGACUUGGACCUAUGCCGGUUCACUGGAUUGCCUUGCCGUCUGCAAUAAUAAUUUGGUGUGGAUUGGAAUACUUAACAAUAUCUCCCUUUACAACAUUAUAAUACAAUCCUUUCCAAGUUUUUUAGCCAGUCCUUGUACCAAUCGCUUAAGGCUGCCAUUUCUUCAAGAAACUUUUUCUAUUCCUUGUAACAAUCACUUAAGGCUGCCAUUGAAACUUGAGAUCUGUUUACCCACUUAGAAUAAGCAUGUUGCUUCCAUUGUUAUUAUUGUUUAAAACUUGGCAUAGUUCUGUCGUUUCAUUAUCUGCGUGCCAACAAUUUUACAGUGAACUUAAAAGCUGAUCCACUUGGAGUGCAUCAAUUUGGACGCAUUCAACUCUGCUGUUAAGCUCAUCCUUGUUGCACAUCGUUCUAUUACAAGCUAAGUCAGUUCGACUGUCCUGUCAACCACAACACACCAAAAGUGGAGCGAAUUCAGUAGUGGAAGGCACUGGUUGGUCAAUUCACGUUUAUUAGAAGCUCAAAUAAGGCUAAGUAGGAUCAGCAUGAUCACCAUAAGAAAAUUCUAUGUUUUAAUCUUGAUGUAUGAACUCUUUUAUUUAAUUUCAAUGUAUUUCUUAUGGUUGAAUUCUGCUACUAUAAUUAUAUAUUAUAUAGCUAUAUAAUUGGUGCAAUAUUAAUAUAUUAAUAUAUUUUUUUGAUGG